AAUAUCAUUGAACAACCCUCCUCAUCCCACUUCUCCGUGUAUUCAUCACAGUGCUGCUGCUGCUCUGCUUUCACAGUGUGUGAUGCACAAAGGUGUGAAGAGCAUUUUGUACCUGGUCCCCACAUCAGUACAGGAAGGAGACAUGCGUACCUGAGCCUGGCUGAUGCUCUCUUGGCAGCAGAUGGCUGUGGCUCUUCUCACCAUCAAUCUAAACGUCCGAUCAGCUCGAGCUCUGCACCACUGAAACCUCAGAGACAAUUUGCGGCAGCACCUUCAGAGGUUAAUGAUACGUUAUGGCAGCUAUCAGGAGCAAGAAGUCCUGUGCAUGGCAUAUUCAUCUGGAAAGCAGAGCCCAGGAAUGGGACAAUCUUCUCCCCUGGCACCUUCAGGUAAGAGUGCAGCCAGUGCUAUGCUGGGGGACAGGGACAAAGUCAUCUUUCCAUUUGGGAAGAAAGGAAUGGUGAAGGCAACCUGGAGAAAAUGCUGAAGUGACAACUGAAUUUUUCCAUAGAUAAAUAUGCCCCAGUCCUGCUCGCUCUUAUACUUCUGAUCUUAAACCCGGGAUUCACAGAGCAUCACGCUCAUCUGCUACAAACCUCCGCAGUGUGAGGAAGGAGCUGUGUUGCAGACAGCCCCCCGAGCAGAGGCCAGUAGCAUUUUGGCAUGUGUUUUUACAGAAACACCUACCUAAACCCCCAAGGGCUUAACUUAGGCUUAAAGCAAAGGGAAAAGGAUGUUUGGUGCCUUUUCUGAAGUUUUGUUGUUUGGUCAAACGUUCCCUGUGGAGGAUAUAAGAUUUUCUCUCUUCUUUACUGCUUUGCCAUUAAGGUUUUUUCUUCAGUUCAGACAUUCAUCUAAGUGAACAAUGUAAGUAUUUUUGAGCAAAUGUUGGCAUUAGAUUAAACCAACGUUGUAACUAAAAAAAGCCACAACACAAUCUAUGCAAAAAUUCUCAAUAUUCUGCAAUUAUGUAUGGUGUGAAUGCAUUGCAGCAUCUUCUGUUCAGGGGAUACAAAUAGGCCUAUGCACCAUCUGACUUUGUC